GAUGAACGCUGGCGGCGUGCCUAAUACAUGCAAGUCGAGCGAACAGACGAGGAGCUUGCUCCUCUUACGUUAGCGGCGGACGGGUGAGUAACACGUGGAUAACCUACCUAUAAGACUGGGAUAACUUCGGGAAACCGGAGCUAAUACCGGAUAAUAUAUUGAACCGCAUGGUUCAAUAGUGAAAGACGGUUUUGCUGUCACUUAUAGAUGGAUCCGCGCGGCAUUAGCUAGUUGGUAAGGUAACGGCUUACCAAGGCAACGAUGCGUAGCCGACCUGAGAGGGGGAUAGGCCACACUGAAACUGAGACACGGUCCAGACUCCUAGGGGAGGAAGCAGUAGGGAAUCUUGCGCAAUGGGCGAAAGCCUGACGGAGCAACGCCGCGUGAGUGAUGAAGGUCUUCGGAUCGUAAAACUCUGUUAUUAGGAAAGAACAAAUGUGUAAGUAACUAUGCACGUCUUGACGGUACAUAAUCAGAAAGCCACGGCUAACUACGU
rnacentral:rRNA from 1 species